rnacentral:rRNA from 1 species
CCUACGGGAGGCAGCAGUGAGGAAUAUUGGUCAAUGGGCGGGAGCCUGAACCAGCCAAGUCGCGUGAGGGACGACGGUCCUAUGGAUUGUAAACCUCUUUUGUCGGGGAACAAAGGCGCCCACGGGUGGGCGGAUGAGUGUACCCUAAGAAAAAGCAUCGGCUAACUCCGUGCCAGCAGCCGCGGUAAUACGGAGGAUGCGAGCGUUAUCCGGAUUUAUUGGGUUUAAAGGGAGCGUAGAUGGGUUGUUAAGUCAGUUGUGAAAGUUUGCGGCUCAACCGUAAAAUUGCAAUUGAUACUGGCAGUCUUGAGUACAGGAGAGGUAGGCGGAAUUCGUGGUGUAGCGGUGAAAUGCUUAGAUAUCACGAAGAACUCCGAUUGCGAAGGCAGCUUACUAAACUGCCACUGACAUUGAUGCUCGAAAGUGUGGGUAGCAAACAGGAUUAGAUACCCCAGUAGUC